CUUUGAUCAUUUGUGUUAAAACGAUACAAGGAUGAAGCAUAAAAAGAUAAGUAUUAAUUUUUAUGAAUAUGUAAUUUUAUUAUUUAAAAAAUUAACAGAUGUUGAUAUAAAAAUAAUAAAUAUUUAUUAAUCAUUAGUGAAUAAUAAAAAAAAUCGGGUCUUCCUGGGUCUCCAUCUUCUCCUCAAUAAGUACAAAUAUUGUAUUUUACCGAUUAUUUUUUUACGUAGCGUACUUCAAAAUAGUUCGCUUGAUGGUAACAUAGUAACAGUUUUACAAACAGUAGGUCCAUUAAAUAUGUUAUCUUUUAUUAAAUAGCUCUUAUGUAAUAUUUAAUGAUUUUAGCAAAUCUAAAAAAAAACAAAUGUAGCUUAAAAAGUCUUUGCUUGUUUCAGUUAGUAGUUAGUUAGUUAGGUUCAGUGUAUAACCAUCUCAAGACCUUUAUUGGUUGUUGUAUUUUUAUUUGUAUUCAUAGGGUUGGCUGUCAGUAUAUUUACAAUAAAUCAUCGUCUAUGGUUGAAAUAAGUGAAGUUCGAUUUCAAAUAUUGUCAUAAUCGACUAAAUGCUUGUUUUGAUAAAAUCAAGUUAGUGCUAUAUUUUGAAAGAUAUGCACGGAAAAUUUUGAAAUUUUGGCAGUAAAAGCGGAGAGAUCAUGUAUUACCUGAUAACGAAGACAUUUUUAGAUUAAAUGUGAAUACUUCAGUGAUUUAAUGAUAUGUUUUCGUAGGGUGUAUUUUUAUGAUUUCGUUUUAAAAGCAGUAUUUUUGUAACGCAAUUACAUUGCAGAUUAAAUUAAAAGUAGUUAAAAUUAUCUUAUUUAAUCAUAGUUGCAGCGAAGACUUGAAGUAAGAUUUUUUUUAUGGUAACUUUUCGUUACAGAUAUUAUUGAUCGUUGGGCCUACGCCUGGCUUUUGGUGACGUUAAGUUAUUUUCGUACAAUUUUUUUGAAGAUUAAGAAUAAUAUCAGUGUUAAAGUUACCAGUUGCCGUUUUAUCCACAAUUGCAUUGUAUUAUAAAACAGAACCGGAUUCCGGACAUCCCUGAACAGGAGCUGGUGAUGUUUGAGGGUCUAUGAAGCAGAGUCCACCUGAGUACGACGUGCACGCAGUGGUCGAAAAUCGGGUAUUGUUAGAUUUUCUCACUAACAUAACCCUUUAACUAAUGCGUCCAUACAUCAGGCGGUACAGAGGACUUAUACUACAAAGAUUUCUGAAGUUUAGUAUCAAAGUGGUUAUUGUCAUAUUAAUUUUAUAUCUUAUUACCUUUUUCCUGGGGAAAUAUGUAAACAUAAGAGUGAAUAAGAACGUUGGUCGCUAUGUUGUUGUAAACUAAAACUCCUAUUUAAAUAAACUUAUCAAGCGUUCAGUCUUUCCAACAUAAAUAUGGGAGUCUUUAGUUUUGUGCAAAAAUUUACACAGCACGUUAGGAAUAACCUACUAUACUUGAUCAGACCAAGAAAUAAAAUUUACCGGAAGAUACUAAUUUUAUUCUUGAUUAUGAUAUGUAAUGGCAUUUUGUCCAUAAUGGAUUUAUUGAAUACAUAUCUGUUCAAAAUAUAAUAAAAUGGCUAUAGCAAUUUUAACAAAUAUUUUGUUUUCUAAUUGUUCUUGUUUGAAGUACUUUCUAUUGCUGAAGCUAUUAAAAAUUGAUGUCAACUGCACUAAAUGUUGUUAUUGAUGAUAUUAUUUGUUAAUGUAAUUAUGUUAUGUAUAAGCUAUUAAUUAUGUAAAGUUUACGUUUACCUUAUAUUUUAAGUUUUAAAUUGUGUUAUUUCUUUUAUAGUAUAUACACUUAGGAAGUAAGAAACGAAGCCAUUAGCGAAUUUUUCAUUUGCACUGAAAAAAACGCUAAUGUCUUUGUUAUUUGUAAUUGUAUAAAUUAAUUAUUAUUAAUUUUUAAUUGUUUAAGUUUCAAGUAUCAAUUGUAUGUACUUUUUUUUUGAAAUAUAAAAUGUCACAAAAUUGUAAUUUCAGUCGAUAUUAUCUUGAUAAUAGUUCAAUAAACUGGUAAUUGUCUUUUGGCUUCAUUACCGAUUGAAUUAAAUGUCUUAUAAUAGAAACAUAAUGUGUUGUAGUAGAACGUAUAAAAAUGUGUUGUCGUAGUAAGUAGAAAAAAGUGUAAAACUCGUCAAAUAAAUUAAUAUAUAUCA